AAGUGCAACCUGGGGUGCUGCAGAUGCAGCUGAGAUUAGACCCAUAGAACCUGCACUUAGUUAGAACUAGCGAAGGGAAAGUUGUGGAUAGCGCUU
rnacentral:ncRNA from 1 species